rnacentral:lncRNA from 1 species
AUUGCUCGCACUCUCCCCAGUCCUGCCCAGUUUCAUCUUCCUCAUCACUUACUGCCCGUUCUCUGCAACCGUGAGGAAUAGCUCCCAGCUGUCCGGCCAAUCGAAUUUCCAGAAGCCUCUCGUCUGACAGCCGAUUCACACUCAGCUUGGUUGGCUCCAGCUCCCAGAGGCCUUCGGGCUGAUUUCCUGCUUCAGCGCUCCACUGACCCGGUCUGGCAGGUGGGACGGGCGACCAACCCAUGGGCUUUGCCUGGCAGGGGACGGGGGUGGGGGGCACCCUUUGAGAAUGGCAAAGGAGACAGGGCCACGUGGGACAGCAGGGGUGGGAGAACAGCAAAGAGGGCCUUGGUGCGAGGAGUGGGCUGUCUGCGAAAUACAAUUUAAAGCGCUGCCAUGUUUUCUGCCAAGAAGAGUGAAGUGGCUGAUGAAAACCAUAUGUCUCUAAGUAAGUGGAAGUGAGAAGUCCUGCUCUGCUGUGCGGGUGUGUUGAAGACGUGGCUGUGGGUCUCCCAUGCAAUGGAAAAAAAUCCCUAUUUUAAAGGAUACGAUGUUAAGAGGCGCUCUGAGACAAACCGCAUUUCGCAAUGGAGUCGUUUACAAGGUCAGCAAAGGAAGGACAAAAUAAACCGGUGGAAAAGGGUCUUGCUCAAUACCAAAAUUUGUUUAAAAGUUCAAUGCUACAGUCCGAAACGGUAAUGCAGCCUUGUUAUGCAGUGUUACAAAAAACAGCCCCCAAGAUGAAACACGUUGUGGAUGGAGAAACAAUGAAAAGCGCUUGAAGUCCUGGUGCAGAUAUUGAAUUUCUGAAUGUUUGAAAAAAGGAAUUUUUUAAAUAUGCAAACUAUUGGGUUUUGUUGUUGUUGUUUUUUUUUCUCUUUACUUUCUCUAAAUUGACCCCGAGGCAAACCAAACCCAGAGACCCAGACGAACAGACAAACAGAUCUACGGAUCACCCUUUGCUGAACAGAAUGCAAAUUUCUUUAUCCAACAUUUCAAUUCCAGUGGUUCCAACGGGCCUUCCCUGAAUUUCCUGUGAGGAAUGUGCUCCCUCCAGCCCUGCACACAGGCCUCCCGCCCUCAUCCUUUCUGCAGGCUGCCCCCCGAGGGGUUCCUGGAACAAUUAGCUGCCCCUGGGGUGCCCUUUCGCCUGGACGAAUGGAAAAACAGGAGCCAUUCUUUUUUCUUUUUCAUGGCCACACCCACGGCAUAUGGAAAGACCAGAGAUUCAAUCCCAGGCCAGGGACUGAAUCCGAGCCACAGCUGCCACCCCAGUUGCAGCUUGGGCAUCCAACUGGCACCUCGGCAGCGACCUGAGCUGCUGCAGUUGGCAUCUUAACCCAUUGCACCACAGCGGGAACUCAGCCAUCCUUGGAGGAUAUUAGUUGCCGAAUUCUCUCCAUGCCACGGUAAUUUCCAUGUGAGUCCUUUGCACAGAUUCCAGCUCUCCGGUGGCGAUAUUCUCUAUCUUGUCACCGAUUUUUUCAACCACUGUCAUCACAGUUAUUUCAAAGUCUGUAUCAGAUAACUCCACGCUCUGGAUCACUGGCGGCUCUGCUUCUGUUACGGAGAUACAGUCGUGGCUCUGAUGGAUGUUGCACGUCCACAGAGAGGAUUUACUUUGGCUUUCUGGAAUGCCUUCCACUCAAGUGUCGGAAGGCCAUCUUAAUCCAGCCUUGGGUUGAGCCGGCUUGAAGCUGGCCGUCAGACUUGGCAGGCUGCUCCGUCUCUGGCCCACUCAGGCUCCGAGCGCCUCACCUUUCUGGGGGUACUUCCCUGGGAAUCUGACUUGUUUCCUGGGGCUCCUCUUCUCGGAUGGGCCUUUGAUUUCCAGUUGUUCCCCCAGCCUCCUCUUUCUGCCAAAAACUCUGCUCGGCUUCCCCCUCUCUUAGCUGGGCUUUCCGCCUCACUGGAGGCGGCUUCUAAGUCGGCAGAUGCCUUCGGGGAGGAGGGCCUGGGAAUUCUGAACUGACCCGCUCUGCUUCUCUUCUCUUUUCCCAGACAUCUUGGCCCUGGGGUCCUGCUUACCCGGAUCCUUUGAACUCUAGAUUUGUCUUCUUACCCUAUGAGAUUGCAGCAACCUCUCACUCAAGUUCUCAGCUGCUCCUCCACUGCUUUCUGCUCGGGUUUUAGCCUCUUGGCCCCGAGCCGCUCAUGAGUCAGGAAUUCCUUAAGGGGAAGAAGAGCGCCGAAUGUCACUUCCACCUACUCCCAUCUCUCUGGGAUCCUGGCUUGUCUUUCUUUCUCUCUUUUUUAAAAUUUUGUUGAAGUAGAGUUGACUUGCAGUGUUGAAUUCGUUUCAGGGGCACAGCAAGGUGAAUCAGUCACACAUAAACAUGUAUCCAUCCAUUCUUUUUUCCCAUGUACAUUAUUGCAAGCUAUUGAGUAGAUUUGCCUGGGCUGUGCCGUAGGGUGUCGUGAUCGUGUUUUACACACAUAUGUAUAUGUGCACGUGUUAUUCCCAUCCUCCCAAUGCCUCCUGAUCCUGACCUUUCAGGUCCCGAAUGCCUGCAGUCAUGGCUUUUGGAUCCUCUCCAGCUUAUCCUUGGUGAGAGAGUUGGUGCCUAAAGCACCACUCUGACGUUGCAAGAAGCGGAAUCCUCUACCGGCUCCCCUGGAAUGUGAGCUCCCCGAGGGCAGGGAGCCUGUCUCCACCACCCCUAUGGUUCCAGGCAGCUCUCAUUUGUGCUCUAACCUCACCUAUUCCUGGACAUUUCUAAACGUCCGCCUCCAGCCCUUUGUUCUAAGCUCUUAACCCCUCUUAUCUAACUGUCACUUGUCAUCUCCAGGUGGCCCUUGCCCCGAAACUCAACGCGUGCAAAAUCACAUUCUUCCCCACAAUCUCUUCCUCCUCCUGGCUCCCAGCUCAGGAAGGGGCAUGUCCUCCACCUGCCCUUUGGCUGCUUAGACCAGAAACCCAGGGGCUGCCUUGGACCACCUCCACGUGGCCUCCCUUCCCCCACCCCAUCUCCCAGGGCUGCGGAUUCCCCCCGAAAACGGCGCCAGGACUCACCCCGUUCUCUCCUUCUGGCCACCGCAGCCCUGUCCCAGCCCCGUUCCCUCCCCUCCCUUACUCAGGAGUCUCCUCACAUUCCUCCCCAAAGCGGGGCUGGCUUCCUUCCAGCGUGUUCGCCAGCCACCCAAUGAGCAGAAUGAGCCCUUGGAAGCAAAAAUCUGAUUAUGUCAUUUCUCGGCAUAACACCGUUCGAUGACGUCCGUUGCUUUUAGGAAAGCUUUGAAGAUAAACCCUCAGGGAGCCACCCGCCCUGCGAGUUCUCCCCCAAGCCCCUUGCCCGGCUCUCGCUGCCUGACUCCUUUUCUUUUUUUCUUUUUGGUGCCUGACUCUUGCCCUUGACACCAUCCCAGCCUCAGGGCUUCUCCUCCAGAGCCAGCACCUGGAGCUCCUGUAUCCCCCGGGCUCCCUGUUGGGCGAUGCCCUCUUCCUCUCCCAUCUGUGUCUCUCCUGUUCAGGUCUCUGCUAAACGUCCCCUCCUCAGAGGACACUUCCCUGACCCCUAGAAUUGGUUGGGUGUCACUCUAUCCUGCACUGGUCACAGCAUCGGCACAGAAAGAGCUGUGUGAUUAUUGAAGGAUUGCAUUUCUCCCCUCGUAGAUGCCACUGUCCCGGAGUCCAGGGCUGUGAUGGUCUUGGUGAUCACAGCGUCCCCAGCACCAGCAAAGCGCCUGGGACAUCUCAGAAGCUUUGUAGAUAACUUUUUGAAUCAGGGAAUAUAAAACAGAGCAGGACAGCCAGCACCCCCCUCCCCUGCAGCCACCCAGCAGAAAGCAGCAUGGAGAAGGCCCAGCAGAGAGAGUGGGUGCUGGGAUGGGGUUUCUAGUUAGCAAGCGUCUCUGCUCCCCAGCAAAGGGGCCUGGAAACAUAAGGAAUCCAAAAUUGCCAUCUCACGCAUCUUUUUAUUGCUGGACUGAAUGCCCUGGCUGGGGAGCCAGCAGAUCUGGGUUCCAGUCCCAGGUCUGGCACCAAUCACGACCUAGAGCGUUUUUAUAAUGCUUCAAAGUUUACAAGAUAUGUCCACAGAUAGGAUCGCAUUAAACUGGCUCGGUGACCUCCAGCAAGCGGCUUUUAGAGGCCUGUGGGGAGGGAGGAGGCCAGGGGAGGAGCCGGCUUCCAGACCGUCCUCUGCCACAUCGCCCCGCGGGAUCCCAGGAGCGCUUCCUCUGCUGUAAAAAGAAGGCGUCCAAGCAGGGGACCCUUAUGGUUUGUCCCUGGAAAUGUAGAACUAAAAAGGCAGGACCGUCCCAGUCAGGAGGCCAAGUCUUUGGGGUAUCCUUUUCCUUCGCGUAGCAGGGAAGCACCCCCAGAAGCUCCCCACAAUGCUGCGGGUGCCCCAGCCAGGUGUCUGGGAAAGCAGGACUGAAACCAGGACUUCUGUGCAGGUGCUGGACUUGAGAGCCAUCCCAGGAGCAGGAGGGCGAGGCUGGAGAGAGAAGCGAGGAAAGAGGAAGAGCCCCACUGGAGGCAGUGGGGGUGUCCAGGUCCCUCUGUCUCCAAGGGCUGUGACCGCAUCAGGCCCCGCCGAGAAGCCACAGGGCGCCUUCCAGAGCUGUCGCCCCGAAGCACAGGCUUGAGAGCUGUUCUCCCCCCGUUCCCACCCUGAUGGGUGUCUGGUCACCGUCAAGAGUGGCACCCUGAGCUUCUAGGCUGUGCUUCCUGCAGGCUGAGGAGGCUUCUUGGUAGAGCAGUCCUGGAACAGAAAACCAAAGGGAAUCCUUGAGGCCACCCUUGGAGAUGCACCAAGUUCUCUUAGACCUGUCCUCGCAGCAGCACUGGCGGUCGGGGGGCACCCGGGGUGCCAGGGCAUCUGAUAUAAGCCACAGAGGGGCAGGGGCACCACUGUCUAGCCCCACACGAGAAUAGGAACCGUGGCUUUCCCCCCAUCCCCCCACCAAUCCUCUGCCCUCUGAGUGUCCAGCUCCCACCACCCAAACAUUUUUUGCAGAGUUUUGUGGUGUCCUGAGCCAUUGGAAAUGGGAGUGGGGGGGUGUCUGUCCUUCCGGGCAAUUCAGAUGGGGUUCAGCAGAGCUUGGGAUGCAAACUGUUGUUCUGCCGGCCCCUCCUUGAGUGAUGGCUGAGCUGGACCCGAGAUGGGGCACCCGCCCCCAGUGAAGAAAUGGGUCACUCGUGUGACCUUUUCCUCUGGGCAGUGGUAGUGCCCCUAGUUACAAGAUCUUUGCCCAGCCUCCCUGGUGGUAUAAGACUUCCUGUCCUUCUUUCAUAAUCUCUGGACCCUGCUUCCCUUGGCUUUCCCCUUUGGAUUCUCAAAAGCCUGUUUGUUAAUUAAAAAAAAAGAAAAAAAAAAAAAAAA